GCCGACAGCUAUAGCUCUGAUUGGACCCCUAACCUGGGAACCUCCAUAUGCUGCAGGUGUGGCCCUAAAGAUCAAAAAAGAAAGAAAGAGAGAAAGAAAGGAAGAAAGAAAGAAACAGGUGGAAGGGCUCAAUCUGAGACACCGGAAAAUUAAGAUGUGGACCCAGUAGGCAAAGACUCCAAGACUUCAGAGUUCUCCAGAAAGAAAAACAGAGAACACAGGUAGCUAACACACGCCCAAACUCCUCGCCUGUCUAUGAAGCGUUUCUCCACGUCCCUGGACAGAGUCCGCCCCUACCUUUCGCGCUCUCGAUUUCUGGACCCGGGGACAAAUCCCAACGCAACGUUGAGACCACCCCGCUUCCCGCUGGUUAGAUGGAACUGAGGGACACGAACUGUCUCCAAGGUGAUUUACAUAUCGAUUGUUUAUUGGCUACUAGUAAGCACUCGCCCUCCUCAUUGGCUGAUUGGGCUCCGUGUCGAUGCUCCGCGGAGGAUGUUCGCUGCUGCGAGUGAGACGGCGGGUCAUUGGCACCUGAAUGUAGGUUUCCAGUUCUUUCAGGCGCCGUGGCGACCGCGAGAGGACUUGGGUGUCUGUUGACAUUACGCGGUUGGCGCCAUGGCCUUGGAGUUGCUCCCCAGGGCGCUCGCUGCCCUCGUGCCCGGCGUAUCCCAGGUGGUUUACAAGUUCGAUUUCCUGGGGAAGAAGCCCCAUCGCCGGCACCCUGGCAUCCUGCAGUUGUCGCUCGUGCGCCCGCCGCAAGCGUUGGUUGAUGCCGCGCCGUUAUUACUGCUGGAUGAGUAACGAUGGGAAGUGGAGGCUAGAGAAGCGUAGACUGGGCCUGCGUGCAUGUGAUUCCGCUUUCAUUCUUGGUCCCUAGAGAGCUCGAUGGCCAAUAUGGAGAAGCAGGUGCAAGCACUGACCAGUUAUCUCUGGAGACAGCAUUUAUCUGUAGAGCCGGAAGAGUUGCAAAGAUGUGCUAUACGUUUUGAGAAAAAAUUCUUGGAAAACGCAGAGGGACUGAGCCUGAUGUAUAUGACAGCAAGACUGGAUGGUGGCUUUGCAGCAGUCUCCAGGGCAUUCCAUCAGGAUGUUGUGUAUUUUUUCAGAUCCAAGCUCCAAUUCUGGAGAUCCAGCCUCAAACCUUAAUGGGACUUGGCUCAGGUACUGGUUCUGUCACCUGGAUGUUUCUUAGGAUGUCCCUUCAUUUCAUACCUAUCCACUCAUCGUUGCCACAUCUCCACUGUCCUCCGCAGAUGGUUCAGAAUCUGGGCUGCCUUAUGUUCCAGGUGUAUUUUUCAGACAGUUUCUACCUGUAUCACCCAAAGCAAGCAGCAGUGUUUCAAGGAUGCUAAAUGGGGAGUGUGCCGUGGGAAAACUGUGGUCUCCGCUUUGAAACCCAGCGUGGAGUGUUAGGAAAUCAAAGAAAGCAGAAGACAUGUAUUGACAUAGACCUUUGCUGUCCUCUUAGAAGAUGCUGUCAGGUCUGACUUGUGCCCCAGGUACAAUGCGAUGUGGUGGCCUCAGCCUUUUCUCUAAGUGAACCACCCAGCAAGGCUGACCACACGGAUGCUGUCCAAACUUUGUGGCCCAAGACGAGUCAUUUUUGAGUGGGAAUGCCUUUUUCCCUUCAAGUUGCAAAGGACUUCACGGGUUUCAUGUCUGGCCUUCUCCCCAGCUUGUCUUUCUUUUUUGGCCAUUUUUCCCUGGCAUCGAUCCUUUUGUGUCUGUUUUAGGGUCUCCAUCCUCGUCUUAUAUAUAAUGCCCAUUUCCUUGAGGACCCCAGCUCUGUCUAUGGAUGCUCUUUUAAUGCUCCUGACAUGUAUGUUUUCAGGUCAUCUGGGGCUACUUGUUUUCCCCUUUUGUAGUCAGAUAUUGAUGGAGAAUGGAACAAAAGCUGGAGGCUCCCUUCUCAUGGAUGCCAGGGACCUGGUCGUUAAUGGAUUUGUGUCGCUGUGCCCGUGUCAGCAACUGGGGAGGUCUUUUACCUGCGACCAUGCUGUCUGAGCUUCCUCCAUCCCCAGCACAAGACCCCCUGAGAUUUGACAAGGAUGUGUAACAAGCCAACACAAAUUGCCAAGGCAUGUGUCCCAUGCCUGCCAAGGCUGAAGCUACCUGGUAUCCAGGAUGGGAGGGCUGGUACCCCAGUAUAUCUGUGUUCGCUAGACAUUUUAAUAAUAAAACGUUUUCAAAGAAUGGAAA